CCCUUAGAUGUUCUGGGCCGCACGCGCGCUACACUGAUGAAUUCAACGAGCUCCUAACCUAGGCCGAAGGGUCCGGGUAAUCUUUGAAAUUUCAUCGUGAUGGGGAUAGAUUAUUGCAAUUAUUAAUCUUCAACGAGGAAUUCCUAGUAAGCGCGAGUCAUCAGCUCGCGUUGAUUACGUCCCUGCCCUUUGUACACACCGCCCGUCGCUCCUACCGAUUGAAUGGUCCGGUGAAAUGUUCGGACCGCGACAAGGCGGACGGUUCGCUGUCAGCUUUGCUGCGGGAAGUUCAUUAAUCCUUAUCAUUUAGAGGAAGGAGAAGUCGUAACA
rnacentral:rRNA from 1 species